GAGGGAUCAUUGCUGGAACGCGCUUCGGCGCACCCAGAAACCCUUUGUGAACUUAUACCUUACUGUUGCCUCGGCGCAGGCCGGCCUCUACUGCUGAGGCCCCCCGGAGACGGGGAGCAGCCCGCCGGCGGCCAACCAAACUCUUGUUUCUACAGUGAAUCUCUGAGUAAAAAACAUAAAUGAAUCAAAACUUUCAACAACGGAUCUCUUGGUUCUGGCAUCGAUGAAGAACGCAGCGAAAUGCGAUAAGUAAUGUGAAUUGCAGAAUUCAGUGAAUCAUCGAAUCUUUGAACGCACAUUGCGCCCUCUGGUAUUCCGGAGGGCAUGCCUGUUCGAGCGUCAUUUCAACCCUCAAGCCUGGCUUGGUGUUGGGGCACUGCCUGUAAAAGGGCAGGCCCUGAAAUCUAGUGGCGAGCUCGCUAGGACCCCGAGCGUAGUAGUUAUAUCUCGUUCUGGAAGGCCCUGGCGGUGCCCUGCCGUUAAACCCCCAACUUCUGAAAUUUUGACCUCGGAUCAGGUAGGAAUACCCGCUGAACUUAAGCAUAUC
rnacentral:rRNA from 1 species